rnacentral:rRNA from 1 species
CCUACGGGUGGCAGCAGUGAGGAAUAUUGGUCAAUGGGCUUACGCCUGAACCAGCCAAGUCGCGUGAGGGAAGACUGCCCUAUGGGUUGUAAACCUCUUUUGUCAGGGAGCAACGCCGGCUACGUGUAGCCGGACUGAGAGUACCUGCAGAAAAAGCAUCGGCUAACUCCGUGCCAGCAGCCGCGGUAAUACGGAGGAUGCGAGCUUUAUCCGGAUUUAUUGGGUUUAAAGGGUGCGUAGGCGGAAUGCCAAGUCAGCGGUAAAAUCGCGGGGCUCAACCUCGCUCCGCCGUUGAAACUGGCGGUCUUGAGUGGGCGAGAAGUAUGCGGAAUGCGUGGUGUAGCGGUGAAAUGCAUAGAUAUCGCGCAGAACUCCGAUUGCGAAGGCAGCAUACCGGCGCCAAACUGACGCUGAAGCACGAAAGCGUGGGUAUCGAACAGGAUUAGAUACCCUUGUAGUC